rnacentral:rRNA from 1 species
CCUACGGGAGGCAGCAGUGGGGAAUUUUGGACAAUGGGCGAAAGCCUGAUCCAGCCAUGCCGCGUGCAGGAUGAAGGCCUUCGGGUUGUAAACUGCUUUUGUACGGAACGAAAAGACUCUGGUUAAUACCUGGGGUCCAUGACGGUACCGUAAGAAUAAGCACCGGCUAACUACGUGCCAGCAGCCGCGGUAAUACGUAGGGUGCGAGCGUUAAUCGGAAUUACUGGGCGUAAAGCGUGCGCAGGCGGUUAUAUAAGACAGAUGUGAAAUCCCCGGGCUCAACCUGGGAACUGCAUUUGUGACUGUAUAGCUAGAGUACGGCAGAGGGGGAUGGAAUUCCGCGUGUAGCAGUGAAAUGCGUAGAUAUGCGGAGGAACACCGAUGGCGAAGGCAAUCCCCUGGGCCUGUACUGACGCUCAUGCACGAAAGCGUGGGGAGCAAACAGGAUUAGAUACCCUGGUAGUCCACGCCCUAAACGAUGUCAACUGGUUGUUGGGUCUUCACUGACUCAGUAACGAAGCUAACGCGUGAAGUUGACCGCCUGGGGAGUCGGCCGCAAGGUUGAAACUCAAAGGAAUUGACGG